rnacentral:rRNA from 1 species
UACGUAGGGGGCAAGCGUUGUUCGGAAUCACUGGGCGUAAAGGGCGCGUAGGCGGCCCGCACAAGUCUGCGGUGAAAACCCCCGGCUUAACCGGGGGCCGGCCGUGGAAACUGUCGGGCUGGAGGCUGGGAGAGGGCAGCGGAAUUCCCGGUGUAGCGGUGAAAUGCGUAGAGAUCGGGAGGAACACCGGCGGCGAAGGCGGCUGCCUGGACCAGUCCUGACGCUGAGGCGCGAAAGCUAGGGGAGCAAACAGG